rnacentral:rRNA from 1 species
GAUCCAGACUCCUACGGGAGGCAGCAGUGGGGAAUAUUGCACAAUGGGCGAAAGCCUGAUGCAGCAACGCCGCGUGAAGGAAGACGGUUUUCGGAUUGUAAACUUCUGUUCUUAGUGAAGAAUAAUGACGGUAACUAAGGAGCAAGCCACGGCUAACUAUGUGCCAGCAGCCGCGGUAAUACGUAGGGGGCAAGCGUUAUCCGGAUUUACUGGGUGUAAAGGGAGCGUAGGCGGUAAUGCAAGUCAGAAGUGAAAGCCCGGGGCUCAACUCCGGGACUGCUUUUGAAACUGUGUUACUAGAUUGCAGGAGAGGUAAGUGGAAUUCCUAGUGUAGCGGUGAAAUGCGUAGAUAUUAGGAGGAACACCAGUGGCGAAGGCGGUCUGCUGGACAGCAACUGACGCUGAGGCGCGAAAGCGUGGGGAGCAAACAGGAUUAGAUACCCCCGUACA